AGUACAUGCUGGGCUCUGGGGUGCUGGAGCCGCAGGUCCUGGUCCCAUCAAUACAAUCCAAAGUGAGCUGGCUCUGAUGAGGAAGAGGCCAAGAUGCCCCACUCAGGGAAGUCUUCCUGGGAGAGGUGGUAGCCAGGCAGACCUGGGAGUAGGAGGAGAACAUGCCGAGUUUUUGCACUGCAAGUCCAAAAAGUUUACAGACUUUGAUGAAGUCCGGCAGGAGAUUGAAGCAGAGACCGACAGGGUCACGGGGACCAACAAAGGCAUCUCCCCAGUGCCCAUCAACCUUCGAGUCUACUCGCCACACGUGUUGAACUUGACCCUCAUCGACCUCCCGGGUAUCACCAAGGUGCCUGUGGGCGACCAGCCUCCAGACAUCGAGUACCAGAUCAAGGACAUGAUCCUGCAGUUCAUCAGCCGGGAGAGCAGCCUCAUUCUGGCCGUUACGCCCGCCAACAUGGACCUGGCCAACUCCGACGCCCUCAAGCUGGCCAAGGAAGUCGAUCCCCAAGGCCUACGGACCAUCGGUGUCAUCACCAAGCUUGACCUGAUGGACGAGGGCACCGACGCCAGGGACGUCUUGGAGAACAAGUUGCU
rnacentral:sRNA from 1 species